GCAUCCUGAGAGAAAUGGCCAAACGUAACGGACUGAUAGUAGAUGACACUGUCAGUUUAAAGAAGAUCCUGGAAGAUCACGUUCAGUGUCUGAAGCCAGUGAUCUUGUCUUUCUUUUCAUUAGAAAUCUCGGUCACUGCAACAGUCAUAGCCAAGUCUGUGAGAAAGUUACUGACAAAAGGAGGAACAAAAGCAGCAAAGGGAGUAGCGAAGAGUGUAGCUGGAAAAACAGCAGGAAAAGCUGUGGGACGUAUGGCAGGAGGAAUACUUGGACUUCUGUUCUCAGUUCCAGAGCUGAUUGAGAACUGGAACAACAUGGACAUCUGUGAGACAGAAGCCAGUAAGAGCCUGAAAGAGAACGCUAAGGCCAUACGGACCGAGUCUGAGAACAUGAAGAAAGGCCUUCAGGAAAUCCUAAAUGUCUUUCGGAGGUUAGCCAAAGUUAAAGACUGCAUAGACAACAGGACGAGGAGCAGCGAUGACAAGAAAGAAUUAAUAGAGUUUGCAGUGGAACAUUGCAAAGAUGAAGAUGCUCUGCAGUGGCUGAGAGAAAACUCAGAGUUUGAAACUUUCUUCAAACUCAUUGAUUUGUUUCGAUUCUUGACAAAAAAAAAGGAAGAAAAGAAGCUCCACUCCAACAACAUUGACAUCACCUUUGUAGCACAUGGAUCGAUCACAGACUCCAUGAUAUCAGCCAACUGUUUGCUGCCUCUGUCCAAAAUCACUGAUGUGGUCCUGUACUCUCCCUGGAACUGUGCCAUCGAUGCUAAAGUAGCCUACGGUGUUGCUACAGGACUCAUAGAGCCUCAGCACAGAGUUUUCAGCUGUGAAACUCCUGAUCAGGAACGUUGUUGCUGCUGUCAUUGUCGCUCCUGUAGAAAUAAAAAAGUCUGUGAAGUUCCUGAUGCAGAUCAUCAACCCACAAAACGUCCAGAUGAGUGGAACUCCAUGAAGAAGGCUGGAGAUCGAAAGAUUCCUAACAUCAUGCUGCGUCCACUACGACAACGCAAGGACGGUGCUUGGAAAAAUUUUGAGAUUCUCAAGGAUAAGUAUUGUGAACCUGAGGGAAACCGCAUCAUUGUCCCAUUUAUCUUCCCAGGGAGGAGAAAAGAAGAAGUCCCAUUCUUUGUUGUCUCCUUGGCUCUGUCUCAGGUGCUCCUGUUCUCCAGGUUUCAAGCCACACUCCAUCUCACUGCCUGUUUGGGAAAAAUAUCCAGAGAAAUAAAAAUUGAUGAAGACACCCUGAAGGAGCAGUAUGCCUGCACCAUCGACAGCACAAGAAUGACAUCUUCACAAGGUGACAACCCAAGGUCCCCUCCUCUACUCACUCAUCAACUCAUCAGGUACAGCUGCCUCUCUGUACCAUCAACACAAGGAAAGCAGCCGGUCCUGAUGGAGCGCAUGGAUGCUUGCUACAGGCCUGUGCUAACCAAAUAACAGAGGUUUCUUUAUCCAGUUUCAGCCAACAUUGCAAACAAGACUUGCAGCUAAUAGUGGUGGAAGGGGACAAGCUAAAGAAGGUGAACAAAAAUCGUUGGUAAAAACAGACAAAACUGAGAAAACAACAGUGGACGGGAUGGUGGCUGAGGAGCACACUGUCUGUAAUGAUGCCCAUGACCUAAACUUGGCAGUGGACGUGGAAGAUAGAAUUGUCGCCAUCUGCACAGACAUUAGGUUGAUGGCUGCAGAGGUGAUGUCUGAAGCUAGGCAACAUAAUAACCAAUCUGAAGACAACAGCUGACAGCGUGGGGGAAACUUUGUAUACUUUCACAUGAAUACCCUGCAGAAAUGUUGGGAAAGAGUCGCAUCAGAUGGAGAACUGCAUAACAUUUUACAUUUUAUUAGCCCUAAAUUAAAGUAUGUCCAGAUGGGUGAAAGUUACCUUCUACUGAGAGAAGGUAACAACGCUAACACAGACUGUACUUGGAAGUGAGAUUGACUUUUCUUUUGUAUGAAAUAUUCUGAGCAGCUUACCUGUCAAAGAUAAAUACCUUAAGGAUUUUGGUUCAGCCAGUAACAAAAGAACAGUUUUGACCACGAAUGGUUGAAAUGUGACCCAACUAAGAAUGACUAGACUGCCAUGUUGAGUAAUAUUGAGACAAAUACUUUUUUUUUUCCAAUUUACAGGCGGAUCCAUUCCCUAAAAAAAAUCAUUGAAAUGGAUGCAUUAUACAUACCAAUCAUAUAUCUCUAGUGCUACUCUGAAUACAUGUGUGACCAACAG
ensembl:lncRNA